rnacentral:rRNA from 1 species
GAGUUUUGAUCGUGGCUCAGAGUGAACGCUGGCGGCAGGCCUAACACAUGCAAGUCGAACGGCAGCACAGCAGUAGCAAUACUGUGGGUGGCGAGUGGCGGACGGGUGAGGAAUGCAUCGGAAUCUGCCUAUUUGUGGGGGAUAACGUAGGGAAACUUACGCUAAUACCGCAUACGUCCUACGGGAGAAAGUGGGGGACCGCAAGGCCUCACGCAGAUAGAUGAGCCGAUGCCGGAUUAGCUAGUUGGCGGGGUAAAGGCCCACCAAGGCGACGAUCCGUAGCUGGUCUGAGAGGAUGAUCAGCCACACUGGAACUGAGACACGGUCCAGACUCCUACGGGAGGCAGCAGUGGGGAAUAUUGGACAAUGGGCGCAAGCCUGAUCCAGCCAUGCCGCGUGUGUGAAGAGGGCCUU